UGUCUAUCACUGUUAUAUUAGUGAAGUGUUUCUUUCAUUGGUUCACUGUCUUUCUCUCUCCUUUAGGGUUUUUAGAUUUUCUCAAUACACAGCAUUGAUUCUUGUUACAGGGCUAUUGAUACUCAGUUGUAAUUUGAUCUACACAAAACCAUGCCUCGGUAUUACUGUGACUAUUGCGACACAUAUUUGACCCACGAUUCUCCAUCUGUCAGAAAACAGCAUAAUGCAGGCUACAAACAUAAGGCAAACGUGAGAAGCUACUAUCAGCAGUUUGAGGAGCAACAAACCCAAAGUUUAAUUGACCAGAGGAUCAAGGAACAUCUUGGCCAAACUGCUGCAUACCAGGUUGGUGCUGCUUACAAUCAGCAUGUAAUGGCUCAGAGGCCCCGCCCACCGGUUCUACCAACACCUGUUAUGCCAAUUCCUGGAGGCGCUCAGUUAAAUCCAGCAUUAUUCCCUGGGGUGAGGCCUCCUGUUAUACCAAGGCCAAUACCUGGGCCACCAGGUUAUGUGUCUGCUCCAGGCAUGCCACCAAUGGUGGCUCCUCCUGUACCUGGUCAAGUGAAUGGUCUUCCUAGAUCUCCUGCUGUGCUUAACCCAACAGCAGUUCUUGGUAGUGCUGCACCACCUGCUUCAUCUACUGGAGCUCCUACCAUGGCUACACAUUCACCGUAUCAAUCAAAUUCAUCUGUUCCAACGAGUGGAGGGUUUGAUGGUUUCAAUGCCAAUGCCCAGCCUCCUGAGUCCAAUCAUUAGAUGUUCCAAGCCAGCAUGUUUUGCUUUUCUACCAAAAUGAAGGAUUUCUUGCAAGGAACCGACUUUGGGAGUUUUACAUGGUAGUUGUACUACUGGUUCAACACCAACUAAAAGACGGAAAGGUUCUCCAUACGGUGUUUCACAUUUGCGCGUUCACAAACUUCCAUUCAAGCACACAUCUUUGUUCAACCUUGUUCUGGUUUGUUUCCUAUUGACAUGAUUCUUGAAAAGCUGAUGUCUGCAAAAUAUGUAUUGAAAAACUAAAUAAGUGUUUCACCUUCUCAACUCUAUAAAAAUAAACAGUUGAUUCUUGCAAGGCAA